UACGUAGGGUGCAAGCGUUGUCCGGAAUUAUUGGGCGUAAAGAGCUCGUAGGCGGUUUGUCGCGUCUGCUGUGAAAACGCGAGGCUCAACCUCGCGCCUGCAGUGGGUACGGGCAGACUAGAGUGCGGUAGGGGAGAUUGGAAUUCCUGGUGUAGCGGUGGAAUGCGCAGAUAUCAGGAGGAACACCGAUGGCGAAGGCAGAUCUCUGGGCCGUAACUGACGCUGAGGAGCGAAGCGUGGGGAGCGAACAGG
rnacentral:rRNA from 1 species